rnacentral:SRP_RNA from 1 species
GCCGGGCAUGGUGGCUCAUGCCUGUAAUCCUAGCACUUUGGGAGGCCGAGGUGGGUGGAUCACCUGAGGUCAGGAGUACAAGACCAGCCUGGCCAACAAUGUGAAAACCCGUCUCUA